CUCAGGAGUUGUCCAAUCAUGGAUUGAUUUUGUUUUGCUCAAACUGUCUGAAUUUAAUUGAGCUAAGGAAUUUUCCUUUUAACAGUUUUCACGUUAAAGAACCAAAGUAGAACUCCAGUAGCCCGAGGAGCAUCUGGUAACCAGACCCGGAUACUACAAGUCUCUUGUGUUUCUGUCUUGCUGUAUCUGGGCAUUACAGCAGUUGCCUUAGAUCACAGUGGUGGUGAACCUAGGGCAUGCACACUGCAGGGGGCCUGCUGAGCCCUCUCUGCUGGCCUGCAAGUCAAGUUGUCCCACCAGAUUCUGGGAAGAUGGGGGAUCAAUAAGUAACAAGGUACAGAACCUGUCUGAGAGAAACAGCUCAGACACUAGAACUUACCACCAUGGAGAAGACCCAAUGAAAGAAGAGGGAUUCUCAUGGCCCAGGAAGAAACUAAGGAAAAAUAAAAAGAAAACAAAGAAAGAAAGAAAAGAAAAACAUGGACAGAAGGCUGGAGCCAGAUGCACUCUCACCAGAGCCGGCCCAAGUGAUAGUUGCAGUGCUUUCAUUGGAGUAAGUUGGACCUGUGGUCGCGGCAGUCUCACCAGAGCCACAGUCCCGCUGAAGUCAGGGGUUGGCGAACCUAACGGAGAACAGAGCCAGCAUGAAGACCUGCACUAACCUGUGGUGAGUGCUCAGAAUUUGUCCUUCCCGCAAAAUGAGGGUGACCAACUGGAUGACAUAUUGGUAUUGGACAGGAUGGGCCCGAACAAGGAAUGGCAGUGACUUCAAUUGGCUGCUCCCUGCCCAGAGAAGAUUGGUGAGAUCUGAUUGGGCUGGGUCACCGCUGGCUGAGACCCAAUAGCCAGGGACGAAAUUGUCCCCAAAGUUGUCCUGAACUGGUUCCGUCUGCACAGCACACACUAAUGUGGUGAAGGCCCCUGCUGGUUGACUGGUUCAGAGGGGAGGGGCCAGCCUACACCACCCCUGCUUGCACCUCAGUGACCAACAGCAAACUGGAGAGAGCAGCAAUCCCUAGCCAGGUGCUUUAGAAAAACCAUAACCAAUACAGAAAAGGGCUGGGACCUUCUACCAUACACCUGUAUGGAAGAAACAAGAAACAUGAUAAGAGAAAGAAAUAAGAAAAAGCCUCCAGCCAACCCAGGGAAUAUGGGUCCAGGAGAGGUAAAUACAGAAGAGAUUAAGGCCAGUAAUCAUGCAAUACUGGACAUGGCAUCAGCUGACAUAAAGAAAUAUCUUUUUGAAAUCAUAGACAAGCCCAAAACUGAAAUAUUAAUUUACAUAAAGUAAAAUAUAAGAAGUUUAAUAAAAGAAAUGCUACUCAUCUCUCAAGAAGACACAGAUGGAAGAAUGAAGGAACACACAAAAAAGAAGGGAAACCUUUAAUGAAGAAUAUAAAAAAAAAAAAAAACCUAGAAUGCAAAAUCACGACAGACUUCUCGACACAAACCAUCAAAUCAAGAAGAGCUUGGAGAGAAGUAUUACAAGCCCUGAAAGAAAUUAACCUCCAACCCAGAUUGAUGUACCCUGAAAAACAGUCUCUCAGAAUUAAUGAAGAAACAAGAUGCCUCCAUGACUAAGAGGAACUGGGGGAGUUCAUGAUCACUAAUCCAACCCUACAAAAAAUACUGAAGGACAUUCUAGAGAGAGGGAAAAAAAUCACCAGGAUUCCAGCAACAGUGGCAGAGAGGCCUCAAUGAAUGGGGGAGACAGCAGAAUGAAGGAGAAAAGUAGACAACUAAUGGCAGAAAAAUAGCAUAGCAGAAAUGAGACCGAGAAGGUUGGCUAUACUCUCUAAUAUAGAUGGCCUUGACACACUAACAAAAAGAAACAUCAGCAGAGUAGAUCAGGAGAUAGGGUCCAUCGAGAUGCUAGCAUAAUUAACCUGAAAGAGGGUUUAUGGACCAAAAGUCAAAUAUGAGAAAAUGAUGCUCUAUGUGACAGGGAACCAGAGAGAAAUAGGGGCAGCUCAUCUAGCACCUGCAGAUAGAUUGGAAAGACAUGACACUUUUGUUCAGUAGAGAACUACUCACUAUAAUGAAGGAAAACCUUGAGACUUUUGUGGGUAAAGGAACAUAACUUGAAAGAUCAAGCUCAGGGGUAAAAAGUUUCAGAACCACUUAGGUAAAUAGCAGGUUGCAUCCCUAACCUAAAAACUAAGGAGUUAGUGGGACCCAAAAUGUACAACACACCCUGUGAAAAUGGAAGGGGAGGAACUGUCUAAAAAAGGAAGGCAGAGAACAUCGUUAAUAGUGUAUCACGAUGUAAAAUCCACAUAGUUCUUAUUGCUCUAUUUAGUUAGGUUAUAUUCUGUUCCAGUCUGUCUACUUCUACUAGACUACUCUACUACUCUAUUACUACUAGGGCAGAGAUAGCUAUUCCGAAAAUAGCAGGGUAUACCAUGGUAACCAUCCUUAAUUUCCUCUUAACUUAAUCUGAAGCUCUGUAUUAUUUACACUGCCUUAUUAUGACUGAUCUUAUUUGAAUCUGGUUUGUUGGACCGCUGUUUUAUAUUGAUUGAUUUUAUUCAAAUCUGUAAUGAUUGAUAAUAUCAAGUCUGAGAGUACAGGCAAAUACUCUGAAAAUGGUAAGAUUCACUAGGAUACCCACUCUGGCUUGAGUAUUACCUGCUUUGAAGUUUUAUAAUGUCUCCAAUAUUUUGUUUUUAUUAAUAUUGUUAUGUACUGCUAUGUUCAAUUAUACUAUGCCUGAUGAUAUAGACAAUUCUAUUGAAGAUAGCAAGAGACAACACAGUAACCAUUAUAGAUCACACUGUAUUGUGGUUUUAUGUAACUUUUUCAUGAUUUUUUUAGGAAUUUGUUUUGUCUUGUUUUGUUUUUCCCUCUAAUAUAGAAAGGAUAGAUAUACAUGUAGAGAUUCAUGCAUGCAUAUGAGAACUGAUUAUAUAAUGUAUGAUGAAAUUAAGAAAAAGAGACACUAAAAUACCCAGUGCUGACUCCAUAACAUCAUCAUGUGAAAUCCAGCAAUACUAUUAUUCUUUGUUCAGAGUGAUUUCAGUCUGUUUUGUUUUGUUUAAUUUCAACAUACAUGAAAGUAUGGACAGCUAUUUUGAAGAGAAUGAGAGACACUAUGACAAUCAUUAUUGACUUACUUAUUGUCUGGUCUUGAAGACCUAAAAUGCCUUCAUUAUCCUGUUUUGAUCAAUUUUAUAGUAUGUUGUUUUGUAUGAAUUCACUGUGUGUGAAGAUAUGGACAACUAUUUGGAAGAAAACAAGAGACAACAUGAUAGACAGUGAAGAUCUCCAGUUGUCUUGCUUUGAAAUCUGUGUCUCUUACAUAGUUUUCUUAUGAUCUGUUUUGUUGUUUUUAAUUUUACUCUAUUUAAAAUGAAGUUUAAAAAUUUUUUAAAAAAAUCUUUCAUUAAAAGAAUGCAGUACAAAAUGGUGGAGUUUUUAGUUUAUUUUGUCAAAGAUUCUCUUCCUUCCUUUCUUCCUCCAUUCCUUCCUCUCUUCCUUCCUUUUAUACUUCUA